CUUGUCGGGGAGCCUCCUUUUUAUGCUGGGAUUUAGGCUGAGAUCACUGUUUUAGUGGGACCCGUUGAACCUGAUUGGGUUAGUACCCUCGUAGGGAACAGG
rnacentral:ncRNA from 1 species